GCGACCCCAGGUCAGGCGGGACUACCCGCUGAAUUUAAGCAUAUC
rnacentral:rRNA from 1 species